AAAUCUUCAAAUAAACGUAGCUUCUAACUAUGAAAAAGUAACCACCGUUACUAAGAUUUU
rnacentral:tRNA from 2 species